UGGGGGACAACGUUUCGAAAGGAACGCUHHCGCAUACGUCCUACDDDAAGCAGGGGACCUUCGGGCCUUGCGCUAUCAGAUGAGCCUAGGUCGGAUUAGCUAGUUGGUGAGGUAAUGGCUCACCAAGGCGACGAUCCGUAACUGGUCUGAGAGGAUGAUCAGUCACACUGGAACUGAGACACGGUCCAGACUCCUACGGGAGGCAGCAUUGGGGAAUAUUGGACAAUGGGCGAAAGCCUGAUCCAGCCAUGCCGCGUGUGUGAAGAAGGUCUUCGGAUUGUAAAGCACUUUAAGUUGGGAGGAAGGGUUGUAGAUUAAUACUCUGCAAUUUUGACGUUACCGACAGAAUAAGCACCGGCUAACUCUGUGCCAGCAGCCGCGGUAAUACAGAGGGUGCAAGCGUUAAUCGGAAUUACUGGGCGUAAAGCGCGCGUAGGUGGUUCGUUAAGUUGGAUGUGAAAUCCCCGGGCUCAACCUGGGAACUGCAUCCAAAACUGGCGAGCUAGAGUAUGGUAGAGGGUGGUGGAAUUUCCUGUGUAGCGGUGAAAUGCGUAGAUAUAGGAAGGAACACCAGUGGCGAAGGCGACCACCUGGACUGAUACUGACACUGAGGUGCG
rnacentral:rRNA from 1 species